AACGAACGCUGGCGGCAUGCCUAACACAUGCAAGUCGAACGAGACCUUCGGGUCUUGUGGCGUACGGCUUCUUCACGCGUGGGAACCUUCCCUUAUGUGCGGAAUAACUCUCCGAAAGGGGUCCCAAUACCGGAUAAUGUCUUCGGACCAAAGAUUUAUCGCACUUUUAUGGGCCCUCGUUGGAUUAGCUAGUUGGUAGGGUAAAAGCCUACCAAGGCGACGAUUCAUAGCUGGUCUUAGAGGAGGAUCAGCGACACUGGGACUGAGACACGGAACAGACUCCUACGGGAGGCAGGAGAGGGGAAUAUUGGAAAAUGGGCGAAGGACUGAUAGAGCAAAGAAGCGUGAGUGAUGAAGGCCUUAGGGAUGUAAAGCUCUAUUACCCAGGAUGAUAAUGACGGUACCGGGAGAAUAAGCUCCGGCUAACUCCGUG
rnacentral:rRNA from 1 species